AACCAGCACCUCAAGUGGUCAGGAUGAUUAUUGGGCCUAAAGCAUCCGUAGCCUGUUCUGUAAGUUUUCGGUUAAAUCUAUGCGCUCAACGUAUAGGCUGCCGAAAAUACUGCAGAACUAGGGAGUGGGAGAGGUAGACGGUACUCGGUAGGAAGGGGUAAAAUCCUUUGAUCUAUUGAUGACCACCUGUGGCGAAAGCGACUUUCUGGCUAUUUUCUGACGCUGAGGAGCGAAAGCGUGGGGAGCAAACAGG
rnacentral:rRNA from 1 species